rnacentral:rRNA from 1 species
UACGAAGGGGGCUAGCGUUGUUCGGAUUUACUGGGCGUAAAGCGCACGUAGGCGGAUCGAUCAGUCAGGGGUGAAAUCCCAGACGCUCAACUCUAGGAACUGCCUUUUGAUACUGUCGAUCUGGAGUAUGGAAGAGGUGAGUGGAAUUCCGAGUGUAGAGGUGAAAUUCGUAGAUAUUCGGAGGAACACCAGUGGCGAAGGCGGCUCACUGGUCCAUUACUGACGCUGAGGUGCGAAAGCGUGGGGAGCAAACAGG